ensembl:snRNA U6 U6 spliceosomal RNA
GUGCUCCCUUUGGCAGCACAUAUACUAAAAUUGGAACGAUACAGAGAAGAUUGGCACAGCCCCCGCACAAGGAUGACAUGCAAAUUCACGAAGCAUUAAAAAAAUUA